GAGGUGGCAAAGUGAGGGAUUAAAGUGAGACAUUUACCCUAAUUUUAUAUAGCUAAGGGAUUUAAUUUUAAGAUCAGCAAAUAUCAUUUGAGUUCAGCAACACCAAACUUCAUCUUCUCCAAUUUAAAACCCUCAUAUGCAAAAAUCUUCAAAUGGCCAUAUCUCAUUCAUUUCUCAGCGAAAUUGGACGAUUCUUACGGACACGGAACAAGCGCGGGGUCCUCUAUCAAUUAAGCUCAGAAAAUCAAGGCUUGACGAGGCGACUACCAGUGGAACCCGAAACUUACAGAACGCGACAUCGCUAGCUAUUAUCAAAGAUUAUGGAUAGCAAGCGUGUGUUUUUCAUGUACCUAGAUUCUGGACGUGGCUAGAAGUCCGUCUUUGACCGGAAGUUAAUGUUCCAAUGUACAUUCCCGACUUCCAUAACUGCUGUAGUAGUGUGAUGUCUGACCAGUGUCGUGGCCUAUUAUAGCAGUAAAAUUUUAUAAGGUUUAUAGUUGAUGUCUGUUGUGUAUAUGUUGGUCUGGCUACUUUAGUUAUGCAUUGUACCACGGAGGUAAAUUCCCGUGAUGUAAUUUCAACAUAGUGGUUUAUGUCGGGUUAGUACGUACAUGAUACAGAAACGAUAAGCCCGGGCAAGUUGUAUGGUUUUA